rnacentral:rRNA from 1 species
ACUGCGGAUGAUCAUGUAAUGAAUUCGAAUGGCAAAGUUGUCGCUGGCUUUCUGAGCAUGUGCACACUUUGUUUAUUCAUUCCACACACCUCUGUGCACCAUUUCAUAGACUGGCAUACGGUGGGGUUACCCUUGGUGACUCUGCUAGCCUUCCUAUGUAUUUUAAUCACAAACAUUAGUAUGAGAAUGUCUAUUGCGUUUAAUCGCAUUGAAAUACAACUUUCAGCAACGGAUCUCUUGGCUCUCGCAUCGAUGAAGAACGCAGCGAAAUGCGAUAAGUAAUGUGAAUUGCAGAAUUCAGUGAAUCAUCGAAUCUUUGAACGCACCUUGCGCUCCUUGGUAUUCCGAGGAGCAUGCCUGUUUGAGUGUCAUGUAUUCCUCAAUCAUUCCGGUUUUUCUGGGAUAGAUUGGAUUUGGAGGCUGCUGUUUCAUUCGGAUCAGCUCUUCUUAAAUGCAUUAGUGUGAAUGGUAUCAAACGUUCUCCAGUGUAAUAAUCAUUUGCGCUGCAGGGACUUUGGUCGACUACAAGUUCAUGCUUCGAAUCGUCUGUCACAGACAAUAUGUUUUGCAUUUGACCUCAAAUCAGGUAGGAUUACCCGCUGAACUUAAGCAUAUCAAUAAGCGGAGGAAAAGAAACUAACAAGGAUUCCCCUAGUAACUGCGAGUGAAGCGGGAAAAGCUCAAAUUUAAAAUCUGGCGGUCUUUGGCUGUCCGAGUUGUAAUCUAGAGAAGCGUCUUCCGCGCUGGACCGUGUAUAAGUUCUUUGGAAUAAGACAUCAUUGAGGGUGAGAAUCCCGUCUUUGACACGGACUACCAGUGCUUUGUGAUGCGCUCUCAAGAGUCGAGUUGUUUGGGAAUGCAGCUCAAAUGGGUGGUAAAUUCCAUCUAAAGCUAAUAUUGGCGAGAGACCGAUAGCGACAGAC